rnacentral:lncRNA from 1 species
UCCUUGAAAUGCCUCCCAAGCCUGCUUUCUCUGAAAGGUCAACCAAACCAUUAGUUGUAUUAUAAGUAAUAUUUAAUGUUGUACGUUAAGCAAUGUUUCACUACUUUAUCAUACUACUUUUAUAAUUUUUAUAGUAGAAACCUUAAGCUUGAGGCAUAAUCUUCUCUCUUCCAAAAAAAACCAAAAAAAAAAAACAAUAUAGAAUGGUGAGGAAGAAAGUAUAGCAAGGAAAAGAAGGAUACUGAGUUGGAGUUUUGAGCGUGCGAAGGUGUUAUUUUAGAAGAGUUGUAAUGGUAUCUCGUAAGUAUUUUGUCUAUAUAAAAAGUCUUUUGCUCAUAUAAAGAAUAAAGACUUUAAAUAGCAUUAUCGAUAUAUUAUUGCAAAUAAUUAACUUACGUUUUAAAAAAAUUAAAAAUAUUCCUCAACCAUGCUUGGAAUUAUAAUUUUUAUUUAAAAAAAUAAAUUAUUUGAGUUUUAUUUUAAAAAAAUAAAUUAUUUGAGUUUUCUCUCUUAAUUAAAAAGUCAAAUUUUAUCCAAUUCAAAAAUUUAUUUAAAAUGAUUUGAAAUCAAAUUCAACUUAAUUCAAAUUAAAUGACAAAAAUUAAAAAUUUCAAUAUGAAAAUACGUGAAUUUAAAAUGAUAUUAAUUUAAUCCGACACAAUUCAAUGUUAACAUGACUCGAAUCUAAAACGAACCGAGCUCAUAAUGAUCAAAAAUCCAAGAUUUAUUGGAUCCAAAACUUACAAAAACUUAAAUUUAUAACUCCCAAAAAUCCAAAUUAUAAUUAAAUAAUUUUAUUUAAUAAUUAAAUAAGUAAAUGAUUAAUUUUUAAGUGAAAAUUUUAAGACACACAAGCACCUUUUUCUCGUCAAUGCUUCUUCGUUACUCAGAAACAGCUCAUAAGAAUGGCAUGGUCAACUACUCUGCUUCACCUUCACUUCAAAUCCCCUCCGGUUUCUUCUCACCAAUUCCCACAUUCCCCCCCAAAAAUCCCCGAUCUUCCUAAACCCUAACCCUAUAAUUCCCAAACCCAAACCCCCCAAAAUGCAAUUCCUUCACAGGCCCAACGCGUUUCCAGGCCACGGCGCAGUAUCAAGAGCCAUGGACAUCAUCCAAUCCUCACCGCCCACGUGGGAAUCGGCCUUCCUUACCAACAUCCUGAUCUUCGUCGUCGGGACUGCACUUUUAGUAGCGGGGCUUUCUCUCUCCGAAAUUUUCGCUUCCUUCUUGCUUGGCACUCUCACUUGGCGAGCUUUCGGGUCUUCUGGAUUCCUCCUCAUUGCUUCUUACUUCGUUAUAGUGAGUCACUAAAAAGUCUAUGAAUUUUAUUUGAAUUAUGGGAUUUACGUUAAAAUUGGAAAUGGGUUCUGAUUUUCGCUCCCAUUUGGUAUAAAGUUUAUGCUCUGGAUGAC